GUUGGCAUGACACGGGUUAUGUUCUUCUCAUAUAUUUUAUGAUAGUAUGAUACUAAACCCCUAACGGGAGGGAUUGUACCUGAUAUUCAUAUGAUGAAGACAUAAUCUUUCAAUCAGUUUAAUUGAGGUCUGGAGCUGGCAUGUCAGUUAACUGCUAGUAGUCUGUUGUUAUUUAUGUAUUAUUGUCAUUUUAUUUAUUUUCUUUUGUUACAUCUUUUGAUAUCAGACUCGGACUUCUCUUGAACUGAAUUUUAAUGUGCGUAUUGUUAUUCUUUUACUUUUCUACAUUGGCUAGAGGUAUAGGGGGAGGGUUGAGAUCUCAUAAACAUGUUUAACCCCGCCGCAAUUUUGCGCCUGUCCCAAGUCAGGAGCCUCUGGCCUUUGUUAGUCUUGUAUGAUUUUAAAUUUUAGUUUCUUGUGUAUAAUUCGGAGUUUAGUAUGACGUCCAUUAUCACUGUACUAUUAUGCAUAUUUUAGGGGCCAGCUGAAGGACACCUACGGGUGCGGGAAUUCUCGCUACAUUGAAGACCCAUUGGUUGCCUUCGGCUGUUGUUUGCUCUAUGGUCGGGUGGUUGUCGCUUUGACAUAUUCACCAUUUCCUUUCUCAAUUUUAAAGAAAUUUGUCCUGUAGAACUUACUUUAAAUAAAGCUAAUGAUAACAAUGACCACUGCCCUUUCCUCGAUCUUGAUAUCUAUAUCAUAAACGGGAAGCUUAAUACAAAAAUUUAUGAUAAAAGAGAUGAUUUUUCAUUUCCUAUUGUUAAUUAUCCAUUUUUAGAUGGUGACGUUCCCUUGUCACCAUCUUAUGGUGUUU
rnacentral:lncRNA from 1 species